rnacentral:rRNA from 1 species
CGAACGGCAGCGCGAGAGAGCUUGCUCUCUUGGCGGCGAGUGGCGGACGGGUGAGUAAUAUAUCGGAACGUGCCCAGUAGCGGGGGAUAACUACUCGAAAGAGUGGCUAAUACCGCAUACGCCCUACGGGGGAAAGGGGGGGAUCGCAAGACCUCUCACUAUUGGAGCGGCCGAUAUCGGAUUAGCUAGUUGGUGGGGUAAAGGCUCACCAAGGCAACGAUCCGUAGCUGGUUUGAGAGGACGACCAGCCACACUGGGACUGAGACACGGCCCAGACUCCUACGGGAGGCAGCAGUGGGGAAUUUUGGACAAUGGGGGAAACCCUGAUCCAGCCAUCCCGCGUGUAUGAUGAAGGCCUUCGGGUUGUAAAGUACUUUUGGCAGAGAAGAAAAGGUAUCCCCUAAUACGGGAUACUGCUGACGGUAUCUGCAGAAUAAGCACCGGCUAACUACUUGCCAGCAGCCGCGGUAAUACGUAGGGUGCAAGCGUUAAUCGGAAUUACUGGGGGUAAAGCGUGUGUAGGCGGUUCUCAAAGAAAAAUGUGAAAUCGCACGGCUCAACCUUGGAACUGCAGUUUUAACUGCCGAGCUAGAGUAUGUCAGAGGGGGGUAGAAUUCCACGUGUAGCAGUGAAAUGCGUAGAUAUGUGCAGGAAUACCGAUGACUAAGGCAGCCGCCUGGGAUAAUACUGACGCUCAUACACGAAAGCGCGCGGAGCAUACAGGAUUAGAUACCCUGUUAGUCCACGGCCUAAACGAUGUCAACUAGCUGUUGGGGCCGUUAGGCCUUAGUAUCGCAGCUAACGCGUGAAGUUGACCGCCUGGGGAGUACGGUCGCAGGAUUAAAACUCAAAGGAAUUGACGGGGACCCGCACAAGCGGUGGAUGAUGUGGAUUAAUUCGAUCCAACGCGAAAAACAUUACCUAUCCUUGACAUGUCUGG